AAUGUUAUCUAUGUAAAAGAUCGUUUUGUGACUUGACUAUGGACAUUGUACUUAAGUGUGUAUUUAAAGUGGGUUGUUAACUUAGCUUAAACAGCCAACAUAAAGCCUUUACGCGUUUAAAUUUCAGGACAUUGUGAAUAAUACUUACUUAAACCUUUGCCUGUCAAUUUGCAACACAUUCUGGUUUUGAUAUAGCUAAUUGUAUUUCAUAAAAGUAGUCAAAAAAAUAGUGAAUUCACAACUUUUAAAUAGAAGACAGUUCUCAAUGCCCUUUGAAAAUGGCAACUUCUGUAGAUUCAGUUCAUAAAUCUUCAGAUUCAGUGAAGGACUAUUUUUGUAACCCUUGCGAAAGUAAAAAUAAUAUAGAAGCAAGUGCUGAAAUUUUUUGUGAAACAUGUUUGAAGUGUUUUUGUGAAGAAUGCCUUCAUCAUCAUGAUCAUAUAUUUGUAAACCAUUUUAAAUAUGGAAGAGGAGAAACACACAAAUGGCCUUUAACAAAGACAAUGGAGGAUUUGCUACUGAAAUGUGAUUUUCACAACAAAAAACUGAAAAUGUUUUGCCAGGACCACAGUCAGCUGUGCUGCUCUGAUUGUGUUUUACUGAAUCACAGACAGUGUACCAUUUUGGCUCUAAUUUCUGAAUCAGCAAAAAAGCUGUCAGUGGAUAUGAAGCAGUUGUCGAUCAAAAUUCAAACCAUUCUUGCUGAAAUAAAUAAGUUAAAGAGAACACAAUAGAACAGCAUACAGUCCGUGCAGGGAUCAUAUAGUGAAAAACUAGAAGAUAUCAGAGACCUGCGUAAGAAAUUAGAUGCUGCUUUGGAUGAACUCGAACAAUCUACUUUGAAAGAAUUGGAUAAAAUUAGGACCACAUUGCAAAUCUCUCUUAAGAAAGAUGUUGACAACUGCAGCAGACUUAAGGAUGAAUUUCAACAACUCAGUGAAGCUGUACAGGGCCUUUGUGAUAAGAGCAAGAAAGAAAUAGAGUUCAUAGCCAGCAGGAAAUGUCUGGACAAAAUACAGGAAUCUGAGACAUAUCUACGAGAGAACCAUGUGAAGGUUAAGAGUUCCCUGAUAUUCCAGGCAAACACUGACAUUGAGCUGUACCUAUCCCAACAGUCGAGUCUAGGGAGGAUUGUAGACAGUAUGCAGUCUCUCACACUCAAAAAGAUACCCGAUAAGGUGAUGACUGUGAAGAGGAAGAUCGAGUAUAAUGUGAAAAUACCAAGUGACGUAAGUCAGAUUUGCUCUAUCAUUGGCAUUUGCAGCCUUCCUAGUGGUGAGGUCAUUGUUACAGAUUUCCUAAAUAACAAAGUGAAGCUGUUGGACAGGCAUUACCAUGUGUCCAGUCACUGUGAUGUGUCUGGUUCUCCAAGGGACAUUUACCAAAUAACAUCCAGUAAGGUGGCUGUAACUGUUAAUAAAGAUGUGCAGUUUGUGUCUGUGAGCAAUAGGCAGCUGGUGAAUGGGAGGAAGUUACCGUUACCACAUCAAGCGGUAGGCAUUGCCCACCAUCAGGGAGCAUUGUAUAUCACCUCUUGGACUGCUCUCUACCACUACACCCUGACUGGGACACUUGUGAAAAAGCUUUAUGAGGAUACAGGAGGUACAAAUACAGUGUUCAAAUGUGCACUAAGUCCUGAUGGUGAACGGAUCUUUGUCACUAUCUUAACAUUACCUGAUAGUAUCUAACAUGUUUUAUGUUUUGUAGUGUUCAAAUGUGCACUAAGUCCUGAUGGUGAACGGAUCUUUGUCACUAUCUUAACAUUACCUGAUAGUAUCUAACAUGUUUUAUGUUUUGUAGUGUUCAAAUGUGCACUAAGUCCUGAUGGUGAACGGAUCUUUGUCACUAUCUUAACAUUACCUGAUAGUAUCUAACAUGUUUUAUGUUUUGUAGUGUUCAAAUGUGCACUAAGUCCUGAUGGUGAACGGAUCUUUGUCACUAUCUUAACAUUACCUGAUAGUAUCUAACAUGUUUUAUGUUUUGUAGUGUUCAAAUGUGCACUAAGUCCUGAUGGUGAACGGAUCUUUGUCACUAUCUUAACAUUACCUGAUAGUAUCUAACAUGUUUUAUGUUUUGUAGUGUUCAAAUGUGCACUAAGUCCUGAUGGUGAACGGAUCUUUGUCACUAUCUUAACAUUACCUGAUAGUAUCUAACAUGUUUUAUGUUUUGUAGUGUUCAAAUGUGCACUAAGUCCUGAUGGUGAACGGAUCUUUGUCACUAUCUUAACAUUACCUGAUAGUAUCUAACAUGUUUUAUGUUUUGUAGUGUUCAAAUGUGCACUAAGUCCUGAUGGUGAACGGAUCUUUGUCACUAUCUUAACAUUACCUGAUAGUAUCUAACAUGUUUUAUGUUUUGUAGUGUUCAAAUGUGCACUAAGUCCUGAUGGUGAACGGAUCUUUGUCACUAUCUUAACAUUACCUGAUAGUAUCUAACAUGUUUUAUGUUUUGUAGUGUUCAAAUGUGCACUAAGUCCUGAUGGUGAACGGAUCUUUGUCACUAUCUUAACAUUACCUGAUAGUAUCUAACAUGUUUUAUGUUUUGUAGUGUUCAAAUGUGCACUAAGUCCUGAUGGUGAACGGAUCUUUGUCACUAUCUUAACAUUACCUGAUAGUAUCUAACAUGUUUUAUGU